GAUAUUGCAGCGGUUGGCAAUAUUUUUAUAUUGCGCCGUUGUGCGAUUUUCGAAAAAAAAAAUAAUAAUAAUAAUAAUAAAACAAAAUAUAUGGAUAUAGCGCGCGUUUAAUUUAUUUUUCAUUCACUAUUUUAUACGCGCACGGUCGUCGGGGUCAAGAAAUGCCAAUACAAUAAUUGAUAUGAAAAAAAAAAAAAAAAAAAAAAUUUGCACACGCGAGUAUUAUAACGUUCAGGUAACCGACUUCACGCGCGCUACCAUUCAUAACGCUACAUAGUAAUCGGAUUGAUUGACGAGUGAACCUAACAAUAAUGAUGAUGAUAAUAAUGCACGAACGUUAUUAUAAUAGGUACCGGGUACUGUUCAAUAUUGAAAUCGAACCGCGAUGUUAUUAACGCGCGCGCCUCUGAUUUGUUAGUGAAAUUUAUGCGUUAUAAAUUAUAAUGAUAUUUAGAAAAUUUCAAUAACAAUUAACUUUUACGGCGAAUAAUUUUUGACUUUUAAACUCGAAAUAAUUAUAACUUUUCCGGGUCGUAAUAAUAAUAUAGGUAAUAAGCACCUUUAUAAGAACGAUUAUCUGAACGCUAUUUGUGUACGAG